rnacentral:rRNA from 1 species
UACGAAGGUGGCAAGCGUUGUUCGGAUUUACUGGGCGUACAGGGAGCGUAGGCGGUUGGAUAAGCCCUCCGUGAGAUCUCCAGGCUUAACCUGGAAAGUGCAGAGGGGACUGUUCAGCUAGAGGAUGGGAGAGGAGCGCGGAAUUCCCGGUGUAGCGGUGAAAUGCGUAGAGAUCGGGAGGAAGGCCGGUGGCGAAGGCGGCGCUCUGGAACAUUUCUGACGCUGAGGCUCGAAAGCGUGGGGAGCAAACAGG